UGUCCCACCUCCCGAAGCUGUGGUAGGUCGCCAUGCUCCUCAGCGUGGAUCUGGGCUGUUGAUAGCGCCCUCUUGAAUCCCUGUAGCAGCAGUUGGUUCUACUACUGCAAGAAUGGCGGACGAAGGUUUGGUAGUCCCGCAAAAAAAGGAAUGGGCAGUGGAAAGAUGGUUGGCUCGGUGGAAAUUUGGCGGUCGGUGUGGGCGGCGCUGGUGCACUUGUUCGGCUUCGAAGGUUAAGACGCUGGUGCUGAGGCCUGCGGGUGGUACGAAGUGGAUCCCCCGCAGAUGCAGCACAAGGUAGAAGGUUCGUCGCCUGCGGCGGAUGACUUGCGGCUCCCUCGAUCUUUGGUGCGCUGGAUCUUUCCAGAAAAUACUCCCAUAUGUUGCCCUUUUUCUUCAGAAUCCUUACCUGUUUGUUCUAAGCACAUGGCUACCUUCCUAGAGAAAAGAGUAAUGGAUGGAGAAUUCUGGCACACUCUCGACCUAGACGUAGAACCAAAACGCUGCCUUCCAGUCUCUGUAUCCGCUGAUAUCUCAAUCCUUUGGAUCGUUUCUUUCUUCUUAUGCAGUUCUCUGGAGCCGCUUAUAUUUUAUUUUUAAAAUCCUUCUAGUCAAGUAUUGUCGCCAUCAGAUCAUUCCUUUCUUCUUAUGUUGUAUUUUAUUUUGUCUUGGCCUUAUGGAUAUAUAUUCCUAUUUUCAGUUUAGAUUUCUCAGUUCUUUGCUGGAGAUCAUCCCAGGGAAUCUGACUAUUCUGUAGAUUGGUGUUCGAGACCCUUUUACACACAUUUUUAUGGAUUGUUGGUAUAGCUAUUUUGGUACCUUCUUAUACUAAUACAUCACCUCCUUUUUAUG